AUAUUUCUGUAAUGACUCGAUUGUUUCUUAUAAAAUCCCCUAUGGAUUUGGCAGUGAGAUCCAACUAUUCAACCUCAUCUCUUAGAGAACCCAGUGGAUUUUAUCAGAUGGAAGUUAAUUGUGUUUCAUUGACCUUUUCUCUGAUCUGCUAGCUGGAUGGAGCCUCACCUUCAAGGGAACUAUCUUAAUCUGUCACCCAGAUUAUACAGCACAAGUUCUGGAAAGAAGAUCCUGGCAACAUAUCUAGCAGUUUUAUUCUCAUGAUCCUCCUCCUGUAGCUCAUCUUUAGAAAUGAGUGGAACAGGCAAGGUUUAUGCAAUGGGAGAAGGCCUAGAGAGAUCCUUUCUCCAUCUUCCAAAUGAUCACCUGAUGGAAAUUCCUGAAAUUCCACUUUUAGAGUGUUAUUCCUUUGGGUUAGUAUCUGGUUCUCACAAAUAUCUCUGGAAGUUUUACCACGUCAUGUGUUUUCACAAAUUACUGUGAAUUUCUUUAUUAGAUCCUUUUUACUGGAUGGGUGAGGGAUGGUCAUGAAACAGUUGUAGGUAGGGAUGGGAGAUGGAGGACGCUGGAUGUCUUGGGGAUUGGAGUUAGGUCAGGGAGACUUGAGGGAUGGAGAUCCUCUAGGUACCAAAUAACACUUGCUUGGCCUCAUGGCUUUGUCUCUGUGAACUUUACUGCCCUUUUUUUCCCCUAGUAUCAUUAUGAACUAAGUGCCCAUUUGUGUGUGACAAGCUUGAUACUGAACAUAUCAUGAAUUAGAUAGACAGGUAAGUCCUAUGUCCUUCAAUGGCUUAUAACAAAACCAAAUAACUGACCAAAUUCAGAUAGACGUUUUAGUAAGAUUUGUGUGAAAAGAGGUGAAACAGCAAAUCUGUGAAUUAAUAAAUUAUAAUAUUUACCAAUUAUGAUAAUAGUGAAUUUUUUAUGUUGAAGCCUGGGCCAGCCAGUGACUUGGGAAGAAUUGUGGACUAUUUUUCCAUUUGAAAAAAUAAUAAUAAUUCUAGAAGAGUUAUCUAGGAUGCAUUAAAAAAAAUCCUGGAGAGUAUUAGCUAUGAAGACUGCAUAAGGCAGAGGGAGAAUUGAACUGAAGAUGUGAAGUUGGAGUUGGAAGUAAGGAUGAGAGUUUGCUAAGAAGGCCUUUUCAGGACUGGUAAAGGAGAAGAAAUACAAAGAUCUUGACUUACCGUUGGUUUUCUGUUUCAUUUUCUGCACAGAAAUAGAAAGUCUUGAACUCUUCGGAUGGAGGCUAGAGUUCAAUUACUAAUUGUUUGGAACUAAGGGUCUGUUCUCUCACCCUAUAUCCUUGCAGAUACAGACAACCUAAAAAGGAAAAAGAAAAGUGAGAAGAGGGAAAGAAUAAGAAGGAUAAAAGAUGCCUGAAAAGGUGUCAAGAAAAUUUUGUGUCUGAAGGAAAUGCUAGUCCAGCUGUCUCAUUUUACAGAUGAAGAAUCUCAGACUCCAAAAAACAUCAGGCACAGGCGAGCCAGCAAUGCAUGCUGUUAAAGUACUGACCCUCUCCUUGACAGGAAAUCCUCGAGGGAACUGACGAGGCUCUCUCUCCAACUCCCUCAUUACACAUUAAAGAGAGGAGCUGAAAAAAAGAGGGAAGUUCUUCAACAUGUCAACUACAGGCAUCUGGUACUCACCUUCUCUACAAAGAGGAACUAAAAUAGUAGAUAAUUACACGUUGAAUAGAUAACCCAAGAAGAAACAGUGGAAUUCAACAGAGAUGUGAAAGGAAACACCUAAGGCAACGAAGGAGCAGAAAACAAGGCAACUUGCUCAGCCCAGAGCGCUAUUUCUUUCUGAUUUAGGGUUUGAUUUACUCUUGUCUAGUUUUUGAGGUGCAUAAUUAAAUUGAGUAUUUGUUCCACUUUUUGAUGUAGGUGUUUGUUGCAAUAAACUCUUAGCAGUGCUUU